GUCGUCGUCGUCGCCGCUCACUGAACCGUCUCCAGCGACAGACGGCGCUGCGUCCCCGGCCUUGUCGUUGUUGUCGUCGUCGUCAUCGGGGUUCUCAUCCUCCUCGCGAUCGUCGCCGACGGGGUCGUUGUUAUGGUCGUUGCCGUUGGUAGUGGCCGUGUCGCGGUCCUGCUCGACAACGGCGCUUUCUUCUUUGGCGUCGACACCGUUGUCACUGCGCUCUCGCGCAGUGUCCUCCUCCUCUUCGUCGGCGGGCGCCCCCAUGUCCACAUGCUGGUCGCCGUCCUCGCUGGAUUUGUCCGCGGGAUGGUCCUCUGCGACGGCGCCGUCCGGUCCGGCGUCAAGGUCGGUGGCGCCGUGGAGAUAUUCG
rnacentral:lncRNA from 1 species